rnacentral:rRNA from 1 species
CCAAUAGCGUAUAUUAAAGUUGCUGCAGUUAAAAAGCUCGUAGUUGAAUUUCGGGACCAUCAUGUUGGUCGUGCCUCGGUACGUACUGGUAUUGUUGGUUUCUCCCUUCUGACGAACCAUGAUGUCAUUUAUUUGGUGUUGUGGGGAAUCAGGACUGUUACUUUGAAAAAAUUAGAGUGUUUAAAGCAGGCUCACGCUUGAAUACAUUAGCAUGGAAUAAUGAAAUAGGACGUUUGAUUCUAUUUUGUUGGUUUCUAGGAUCGACGUAAUGAUUAAUAGGGAUAGUUGGGGGCAUUAGUAUUAAAUUGUCAGAGGUGAAAUUCUUGGAUUUAUUGAAGACUAACUACUGCGAAAGCAUUUGCCAAGGAUGUUUUCAUUAAUCAAGAACGAAAGUUAGGGGAUCGAAGACGAUCAGAUACCGUCGUAGUCUUAACCAUAAACUAUGCCGACUAGGGAUCGGAUGAUGUUAAUUUUAAUUUUUUAAUGACUCAUUCGGCGCCUUACG